rnacentral:rRNA from 1 species
GACGAACGCUGGCGGCGUGCCUAACACAUGCAAGUCGAGCGGAGUCAGUAAGAGGAAGUUUUCGGAUGGAAUCUUAUUGAUUUAGCGGCGGACGGGUGAGUAACGCGUGAGCGACCAACCUUGCACAGGGGGAUAACGGACCGAAAGGUUCACUAAUACCGCAUGAGACCACGGUGUUGCAUGACACAGGGGUCAAAGGAGCAAUCCGGUGCAAGACGGGCUCGCGUCCGAUUAGGUAGUUGGAGGGGUAACGGCCCACCAAGCCUAUGAUCGGUAGCCGACCUGAGAGGGUGAUCGGCCACAUUGGAACUGAGAUACGGUCCAAACUCCUACGGGAGGCAGCAGUGGGAAUAUUGGGCAAUGGGGGAAACCCUGACCCAGCAACGCCGCGUGAAGGAAGAAGGUUUCGGAUUGUAAACUUCUGUCCUUGGUGAAGAGAAGAAGACGGUAGCCAAGGAGGAAGCCCGGCUAACUACGUG